GAUGAACGCUGGCGGUAUGCCUAACACAUGCAAGUCGUAUGAGAGUUUUUAACUCUAGUGGCGGACGGGUGAGUAACACGUGAGAAUUUGCCUUUAGGAGGGGGACAACAAUUGGAAACGAAUGCUAAUACCCCCAUAUGCUUUCGAGUGAAAUGGAUUUUAUCCGCCUAGAGAGAAGCUCGCGGCUGAUUAGCUUGUUGGUAAGGUAAGAGCUUACCAAGGCGACGAUCAGUAUCUGGUUUGAGAGGACGAUCAGACACACUGGAACUGAGACACGGCCCAGACUCCUACGGGAGGCAGCAGUGGGGAAUAUUGGACAAUGGGCGCAAGGCCUGAUCCAGCAAUGCCGCGUGUCUGAAGAAGGCCUUCGGGUUGUAAA
rnacentral:rRNA from 1 species